rnacentral:rRNA from 1 species
UACGUAGGGCGCAAGCGUUGUCCGGAAUUAUUGGGCGUAAAGAGCUCGUAGGCGGUCUGUCGCGUCUGUUGUGAAAACUCGAGGCUCAACCUCGGGCUUGCAGUGGAUACGGGCAGACUAGAGUGCGGUAGGGGAGACUGGAAUUCCUGGUGUAGCGGUGGAAUGCGCAGAUAUCAGGAGGAACACCGAUGGCGAAGGCAGGUCUCUGGGCAUGUCCUGACGCUGAGGAGCGAAAGUGUGGGGAGCGAACAGG